rnacentral:rRNA from 1 species
CCACCAAAGCGACCAUCAAUAGCCGGCCUGAGAGGUGGAACGGACACAUUGGGACUGAUACACGGCCCAAACUCCUACGGGAGGCAGCAGUGGGGAAUAUUGCACAAUGGGGGAAACCCUGAUGCAGCGACGCCGCGUGAGUGAAGAAGUAUUUCGGUAUGUAAAGCUCUAUCAGCAGGGAAGAAAGUGACGGUACCUGAAUAAGAAGCCCCGGCUAACUACGUGCCAGCAGCCGCGGAAAUACGUAGGGGGCAAGCGUUAUCCGGAUUUACUGGGUGUAAAGGGAGUGUAGACGGCAAGGCAAGUCUGAAGUGAAAGCCCGGUGCUCAACGCCGGGACUGCUUUGGAAACUGUUUAGCUAGAGUGCCGGAGAGGUAAGCGGAAUUCCUAGUGUAGCGGUGAAAUGCGUAGAUAUUAGGAAGAACACCAGUGGCGAAGGCGGCUUACUGGACGGUAACUGACGUUGGGGCUCGAAAGCGUGGGGAGCAAACGGGAUUAGAUACCCUGGUAGUCCACGCCGUAAACGAUGAUUGCUAGGUGUAGGUGGGUAUGGACCCAUCGGUGCCGCAGCUAACGCAAUAAGCAAUCCACCUGGGGAGUACGUUCGCAAGAAUGAAACUCAAAGGAAUUGACGGGGACCCGCACAAGCGGUGGAGCAUGUGGUUUAAUUCGAAGCAACGCGAAGAACCUUACCAGGUCUUGACAUCCCGAUGAAAAACCCGUAACGGGGUUCCCUCUUCGGAGCAUCGGUGACAGGUGGUGCAUGGUUGUCGUCAGCUCGUGUCGUGAGAUGUUGGGUUAAGUCCCGCAACGAGCGCAACCCUUAUCCUUAGUAGCCAGCAGUUCGGCUGGGCACUCUAGGGAGACUGCCGGGGAUAACCCGGAGGAAGGUGGGGAUGACGUCAAAUCAUCAUGCCCCUUAUGAUCUGGGCUACACACGUGCUACAAUGGCGUAAACAAAGGGAAGCAAGCCGGUGACGGCAAGCAAAACCCAAAAAUAACGUCCCAGUUCGGACUGUAGUCUGCAACCCGACUACACGAAGCUGGAAUCGCUAGUAAUCGCGAAUCAGCAUGUCGCGGUGAAUACGUUCCCGGGUCUUGUACACACCGCCCGUCACACCAUGGGAGUCGGAAAUGCCCGAAGUCUGUGACUCAACCGUAAGGAGAGAGCAGCCGAAGGCAGGUCUGAUAACUGGGGU